AAACAGUUGAAAGAGGAGCUGCAUGUGGAAUCUGAAAGAGCUUGCAAAAGCAGAAGGACUACUGCUUAUGUUGCAAGACCUAACAACCAUCCCCGGGACUGACUCAUCCAGCUCAAUCAUCUUCGAAAGUCUGCUGGGUCUGCUUAAAAUAAGACUAUUCAUUAAGCUGCCAUGUUGGAAUUCAAACUGGAUCACUACAGUAUUGUGGUGAACUACAUAUACCUGUCUGGACACGCCCCCUGCUGACUGCUCCUGUGGCUCCUCCCACAGACCCCGGUAUAAAGGCGAUUGGGGCCUGAGCCCUGCCCUCAGU